rnacentral:rRNA from 1 species
AAGAGAGACAUGCGCGCAUAUCAAUAAGCGGAGGAAAAGAAACCAACUAGGAUUCCCUCAGUAACGGCGAGUGAAGCGGGAAGAGCUCAAAUUUGAAAUCUUCAAGGUUCUACCUUGACGAAUUGUAGUUUAAAGAAGUGUUUUCUGUUGGAGUUUUGGUAAAAGUUCUUUGGAAUAGGACAUCAUAGAGGGUGAGAAUCCCGUAUUUGACCAUUUCUUCCAGCUGUGUGAUACACUUUCAAAGAGUCGGAUUGUUUGGGAAUGCAGUCCAAAAUGGGUGGUAAAUUUCAUCUAAAGCUAAAUAUUGGCGAGAGACCGAUAGCGAACAAGUACCGUGAGGGAAAGAUGAAAAGAACUUUGAAAAGAGAGUUAAACAGUACGUGAAAUUGUCAAAAGGGAAGCGUUUGACACCAGUGUUGUUUUCUCGAAAAUCAAUUAAAAAUGGCCGGAUUUUGUGUUGUAUUGACUUUAUCAGUUUUCUGCACUUUUUUCUUGUCUUUUUUAAUGCACUUUUCGUUUAACAAGUCAACAUCAAUUUCUUUUGUUGUAAAAGAGUCAUUGGAAGGUGGCUUUCACUUCGGUGAAAGUGUUUAUAGCCUUUGACUUCUGCAAUCGGAGAGAUUGAGGUCUGCAGCGUAGAUCCUUCGGGGUUAGAUACAUUUGUGCUAAGUUAUAGCCUUUCAUAGACAACUUGUUGACUAUGAUCAGUCAUGUAGCUUACUCGCUUAUGCUAUUUUACCUACGCUUAGGAUGUUGACAGCAGUAUAGACUGU